rnacentral:lncRNA from 1 species
UCAAAUCAAAUCAAACUGUUCGAUUUAAUUUGAAAAUAUGCUCUAUACAAGCUAACCAAGUGUGAUGCGCACGAAAUUUAAAUCUUAAAAUAGUAUGAAUUACACAAAGCGGCAAGCUAGCUAGUCAUGAUCUGUCAAGACUCAAAGGUAACAAGCUGGGAAACAGGAUCAUGUGAUCAUUCAAACAAAUUGGUAGGAGUUUUUCUUCAUUCUAAAUCUGGUGAAGCACAUGUAUUCUCAAGAAGC